UCGGGCACAGCUGCAUCACAAAAUGGGUCCCCUGCAUUGUCACGGCUCAUAGACAAGCUGUCGCUUGCUUUGGCCUGGGAGUGCUUGUGUCAGGCCAGGACUGUGGAAUCAGACGGGCUAGGAAUCUGGAGUCUACGACCUGCCAGCAAUGAAACCCUGGAGGCCUGGUUCUCAGUUCUUCUCUUCUACCCCAGCACUGGGACUGGCACAGAGAAGAUAGGCAGGGAACACUAUUUGAACAAAUAAAUGAAUGCAUGAUUGGAUAUGUGAGGCCCCGUUGCUGCUCUGUUGGAAAGGGGAGACCAGGAUUCAUUCAAAUACUAUCUCCUGCAGGACUUGACAGAGGCUUGACACACAGUAGGAAAGAACUGGAGCUGCCUAUCCUGUGGACCUUGAACACCUGAACCCCAUGCUCCCUCUGUGGAGCCCUUUCUCUUCCUACUAGAGCUGCUGAGAGAGAGAAGGCUGGUGUCACCGAACAAGGUGGGACAGUUUGUGGCACUCUCUGGAUUCCAAAUGGCUGCUUCAAACCCUGGCUCUAUGAUCAGGGCCUGCAGCAUCUCAUGAGACCUUCACUAGAAUGUCAACUCUCUCUGGUCACUGAUGUACUCCAGAACUUAGAAGAGUGCCAGCAUGUAGUAGAUGCUCAAAACUGUGCAUGAAUGUUGGCUGAAGGACCUGCUCCCUCCUGCCUCUAUUUCCGAAUUCACUUUGAAUCCCACUCCUCCAUACUUCUAUGUUCCACUACAUCUGCUUCUGUUCUCCCAACAUGCCAAGCUCAAGUCAGGCUUGUAGUGCUCACACUUACUGUUCCUUUUGCUGAGAAUGCUCUUCCCUCCAAUCCUGGUAUGGCUAGUUCUUUUUAUUACUCAUAUUUCAGUUCAAAUGUUAUCACUUCAGUGAAGCCUUCCCUGAAAUAGAUAGGCCCUCUCAUCUUGGUCACAUUAUUUUAUUUUAUUGUCUGCAUUAUACUUAUUAUCUUAUUUAUACAUUUAUUGGUCUGUUAUAUCUUUUCUACUAUAUUAUAAGCU